rnacentral:lncRNA from 1 species
AACUCUCUUAACCUCUUGGGCCUUGCCACCACCCAAAAUGCUUAAGCCGGGGUUAAGAGUUUAGCCCUAUUAUAUCUUAUAUAUAGGACUAUCUGGGGUCUCACAUAAUAUAUAUAUUAUAUAUAAUUAAAUAAUUAUAUAUAAUAUAUAUUUUUAUUAUUUAAUUUUUAGCAAAAUAAAAAUAUAAAUGCGAGCUUAAUUAUAAAAAGACUAAUUUAUAUGUAAGGUUUUAACUAUUAGAUCAAAAUCUAAUAAAUAAGAUUUUAUAAAUUUAUUUUUUAUAUAUAUUUAAUUUAAUUUUUUUUAAUUUAUUGUUCGUUGGCCAGCUCGUGAGCCAGCUCGUGUUCGGCUCGUUAAUUAACGAGCCGAACACGAGCUGAAUUUUUCGGCUCAAUACUUUAACCAGCCAGCUCGUAUUCAGCUCGUUUAAUAAACGAGCCAAAUAUGAACCGAUCCCAGCUCAUUCGUGUUCAGCUCGUUUACACCCCUACCCACAACA